GUUAGAACGUUCUCUCCAUUCCAGAAUGUGAUUGUUAUGUAACAGUACAUUUAACCUGCGCUGCCCUCAAACCAAAGCACGCAGCCUGUUUUAUUUGUCAAUUUAAAAUUAUUUUCUAACAAGUUUUUUAUUUUCUAAUAACAGUUUGAAAUGAUGUGUGUUUCGCCUUAUUCAUUCACAUAAAAGUAGUCAUUUUUACUUUUGCGGACCAAUUAAUUUUUGGGACAUUUCUGACCCGGACAAAAUUCCCCAAACACUUCUCAAUUGUUUGUGCAGGACAUUUACUCAUCUGCCGUCCUGCAUACACGUGUUCAUAUUUUCCACCUGUCGCCUGCAUCGAAAUCAAAGUUGUUUUCGUUACCAAUAAUACCUUUGGUAAUGUGUGCGUUUCUAUCAAAGUGCCUUAAUACGUUAUAAUAGUUUCUGCAUGUCGUGUUAUGUCGUUUCUACUGUAACGUCAUGUUUUUAUGUACAUUCCUUAUAACCGCGGACAGGCGAUGUAACGUUACUCAUUUCAUAACAUUUAUGGUGUUAUACUCAAUGCUUAGGUAUCUAGCUACAUUCUCCUAUUAGUUCUGGCAAACAAUGCUAAUUUCGUCAGGGAAGUAUUAGCAUGUGUUGUAUUUCGAAGCUACCCUGGCCUUAUGACUCCCAAGUGGCACAGCGUCUCAGCGCUAGAAGCGUCACUCCAGACACCCAUCUUCAAAUCAAGACUGCGUUUCUAUCAAAGUGGUCCACCUUCCCUGUGGCCAACAUGGUUGCUGUAUGGACAACGGAGAGGACUUGGACGUCUCGUUUGUCAUGCCACUUUACUGCCAGCUGUUAACAUUUCUUAUUUUGUAUAACGGGUCAUUUAGGAUGGUAGUAGCGUUGAUGAAAUGCAGUCAUAGCAGCAGAACUAGAAAGCAGUCUUUACUGUCACCAGGAAUGUGUACAUUUCACAAAUUGUGGUUGUCCCCCACUCCUGGCUCUCUCUUCUCCUGUAGCUCCAAGGCAUAGUGAUUGGUCUCUACUAUGUCUCCCACCAGCUCCUCUGUCAGAAACAACUUGAAGCACUCUGCCUCAGUUGGAAAUGGCAAGGGGCGUUGCACUCCAGACUGGGACUCAUCAACACAAUCAGCAGGGCCAGGAGGGAUGAAAUGGCUGGCAGCCUUCCAGCUACCACAGAACUGUACUUCAUCCACUGUCAGUCUGCCACCAUCACCACCAGCAUCUUCAAAGGGACCUGGGACUUCGUCAGUGGACAAGGGAAAUUCAGAUUCAGGGUUCUCAGUGGCUACAAGGUUGGGGGGCAGCUCCUCACUCAGUCAGAAUCUGAUUCCUGACUUUCAUACUCUGACUCAUUGUCAGAAUUUUUUAAAAAUCUCCAUAAUUUCCACAUUUGUUUGUUGUCUCCUUUUGAAAGAUUGCUAAUGCUUCAGCUUAGCUCACUAGCUACAUACAUAAACAACAACACUGAAUGGUUUACAGUGAGAGGGUACGUGGUUGACUGCCGGCACGCGCCACUUGUAUCAAUAAAUCACUAUCAGAAAAUG